rnacentral:sRNA from 1 species
AAAAUUAAUAUGUUUACAAGUAAUAAUAAAAAUAUAAUUAGAUGAAAUCAUGGGUAUUUUAGGUAUUUGUAUUAUUACAAAUCAUUUGGAUGAAGAUUAGAGAUAAGCAAACGAACAACAUCUCAUUCAUAUGAUUUAGUCAAAUGAACCGACUGAAAAUGAAACAAACAAGAAUCAGAUAAAUCAUCCAGAUGGACAUGUUGAAUGGAUUAGUUGGAUAGAUCAGUCAAAUGGAGAAACGAACAGAUCCUAACUCAGCCGAAAUAAAAUGGUUAACGCAAAGCCUACCGUUGUCUUCGAGUCGAAAAAUAGUCUUUUU